AUUUACAUUGACAUGGUCAUAAUUUUCUUGUUCUUUUUACAUUAAAUGGAGGACCAUCUUGAAACAUAAUUAAAUUGGUAUGGACACAUUAACGUUACACAGGUUGUGUGUAAUGAUUAUCCUAAUAAUCUAAAAUCACGAAGUUCAAAUGCAGCGUGACUGCCAUGCACAGAAAGAAAGGUUUUGAAAUUGUUUACUUUUCAGCAUUGAUAUUCCUUGACAUUGUGAUAGGGUAUAUUCACACUAAUGAAAAUUUGUCCUCCUCCUAAGUUUAGUUGAUCUAUAAUUACCCUGAAAAAUGGAAUUGAUCUUUUAAUGAAGUGUUAAUGAAUAAAAACGUAUUAAUUGUUUUAACAUCAAAGUGCAAGUGCCCAUGGAAAGAUGUGAUCAUACCUUGUAAUCUAAUCUGUAAUCUUAACAAACUGCAUGUUCAUGGGGAGUGACGUCCAUGGGGAGUAACAACUGGUUACCUUUUGAUAGUGUUGGCUUGAAAUAGUCUGAUAUAUUGUAUGAAUUAUAUAUUAAAUAUAACAAAAUAAAUUGACCAUGUCUACUGUACUUAUAUAGACUUCCAAGUACUCUCCCUCACUCCUACCACUAUUUUUGGUAAAAAAUGAAAGAACAUAUUGAGAUGUAUUCAUUUGUUUAAUUUGAAACUUUUGCAGAAUAAAUUCCGUAGGGGGGAACGAGAGGAACGUAGAAGAUUCAAUAAAAAAGUGGUGUGAUUGGAAGAGCCGGACCAUUAUGAAGGAUGCCAAGAGAAGACGCUUUGUGGAAAGCUCUGGGGAGGCAGCUCUUCCAAAAAAAAUGCAAUUAACUGUUUUGGAGGAUAAGCUAUUGUCCUUAGUGCCCAAAACAAAGCUGUUCGGAGUGCAAGGUGGAGGGAUCGAUACCGGUCCACUCAAGAGAUCCAUGCAAGAAAAUGAUAACCUAGACAAAGGAGAGGAAAAUAAACGCCUCAAGCAGAACGGUAUGUCAUUGUUAUCUAUUAAAGUUAUAAGAUUUGUAAAAACAAAUAUCACUUACCUUUAAUUGACUGUUGACUGAGUCUUCAUAAUAAAAUAAUAACAAUUGCCAUUGGUUUCACUAUUUAACAUUAU